CCUACGGGAGGCAGCAGUGGGGAAUAUUGCGCAAUGGGCGAAAGCCUGACGCCGCGACGCCGCGUGAGGGAUGAAGGUCUUCGGAUCGUAAACCUCUGUCAGCAGGGAAGAACGGUCACUGUGCUAAUCAGCAGUGAAUUGACGGUACCUGCAAAGGAAGCAGCGGCUACCUCCGUGCCAGCAGCCGCGGUAAUAUGGAGGGUGCGAGCGUUAAUCGGAAUUACUGGGCGUAAAGCGCUCGUAGGCGGUAUGUCAAGUCAAGGGUGAAAUCCCCGCGCUCAACGUGGGAACUGCCUUUGAAACUGUCAAACUUGAGUGUGUGAGAGGAUAGUGGAAUUCCAGGUGUAGGAGUGAAAUCCGUAGAUAUCUGGAGGAACAUCAGUGGCGAAGGCGACUAUCUGGCACAUAACUGACGCUGAGGAGCGAAAGCGUGGGUAGCAAACAGGAUUGGAUACCCUAGUAGUC
rnacentral:rRNA from 1 species